GUAUCACUGCCCACUGACCCAUCACUAGAGUCCUUGGAAGGUGAUGAGCCAUUUGGCAGUAUAGAUUCUCCACUUGAAGGGGAAUUAACAUCAUGAGUUGCUACCUCAGCUUGGUUAGAAAGAUUGACAUCAGAGAUAUCAUGAUCUUCAAAUGGAUUCAAACUUGAUCCACCUACUUGCAAAUCUGAUGUUUCUCCCCAUCCUACCCAUGCAGGGAAAGGCCUGCCUCUAAACAAGUCAUCAUUGCCUGGAGUAUCAAAUCUGAAGAAUCCAAUA
rnacentral:misc_RNA from 1 species